AGAAAUAAUAUCCUGUGACAACCAAUGUUACUCCAUGUAUAUAUAAAUCCCUAUAUAAAUCCAACUUGCUUAUUAACAAUAAUGCUAAACUGCAUUAAUAUAUCUGAGAGUACAGAUUACCAUCUGAAAGAUUUUUGAAAAAAAUGCAAAAGAGAGAGAAAUCAAUAAAGAAAUGUAUAUACAGUCCCAGUGUGUACACACUAUAAUGUUUUGGGUGGAUCUCACCAAAAUUUCCG